rnacentral:lncRNA from 1 species
GAGGGAGGAGGUAGGAAGUAAGAGGCAGGGUCAAGUGAAAUCCUAAUAUUAUAUGAAAAGAAAGACAAAAUAAAGUAAAAAAUGUAACAGGCCAUAUCAGCCAGGUCAUAAGCCUGAAUAUUUUUGGGUAGGGUCUGGGCUUAAUAUAUUUAAUAUAGGAUUGGCUUGGCCUCGGCUCUGCCCAAUUUCUCCUUAGGGCUAAAGAGGCCUGUUAUUAGAUAGGACUUUGGCUCAUACUUCUUUUGCCGUUUUACAGGCCUACUACAAACCCAUCUUUUUACGAAACAAAAAUAAAUAUAAAUAAAAGUUGUUUACAAAACAAAACCACCACCACCCUGAAAUUAAAAAAGAACCCAUCUUUUUACCCUAAAUUUACCCUAAAAAGAAAAAAAGAAAAAAACCAAUCUCUGACUAGAAUCGCCAAAAUCCAUAAACUGUUAUAAAGUGAGAGAUGAAGC